rnacentral:snRNA from 1 species
AUUAUUAUUGGUGGUUUUCCCAGGGUGAGGCUCAUCCAUUGCACUCCGGGUGUGCUGAUCCCUGCAGUUUCCCCAAAUGUGGGGAAACUCGACCGCAUAAUUUGCAGUAGUGAGGGAUAACGGGAUCCAAU